CUUUUAUCAAAAUACUGGGACUGCCCGCUAAGCUGCAUAAAGUCCUUCUUCGCAUGAGGAAAGACAACAUCAUUCCAGUCUCUACCCAUCCCUGACAAAGACCUCAAGACAUAACACGCAGCCCCUAACUGGCAAGGCUGGGAUGAUUCUAGACACGGCUGUGAAGACAUGAGACCCAAACACAACGGUUGACACCCAUGUAAAAAGUGCUGAGUGGAGCUUCUACCGAAGAACUGUGUUUGAACUCCAAACUAGAAGGAAGUUCACGCUUGUUCCUGGAAUGGUGAGGCACGGGUUCCCAGCACAACAGCCUCUCUGGAGAGGAAGCGCAACUGUCACCACGCCUCUGCUUCCUGGUCAAGCAAAGAAGAGCUCCUGAGACUCAGCAAAAUGUUAUCUUUAAAACGCACAAGAAAAGGGCUGGAGAGAUGGCUCGGAGGUUAAGAGCACUGGCUGCUCUUCCAGAGGUAGGUCCUGAGUUCAAUUCCC